ACAAACUUGGUCAUUUAGAGGAAGUAAAAGUCGUAACAAGGUUUCCGUAGGUGAACCUGCGGAAGGAUCAUUAAAGGUUUAGCUGUUUGUGAAGGGUUGUUGCUGGCCAGAUUUUGACAAGUGCACACCUGGAUCAUAAACACAGCACAAAAACCCCUCUCCUGCACCUGUGCACAACUGUAGUGGGGAAUUGCUCUCCGCUACGAAUGUCGUUAAUCGCGUGUAAACAAAAAGUGUUGGGAUGUUCAUAAAUGUAACGAACUUAUACACAACUUUCAGCAACGGAUCUCUUGGCUCUCGCAUCGAUGAAGAACGCAGC
rnacentral:misc_RNA from 1 species